rnacentral:rRNA from 1 species
GAUGAACGCUGGCGGCGUGCCUAAUACAUGCAAGUCGAGCGAAUGGAUUAAGAGCUUGCUCUUAUGAAGUUAGCGGCGGACGGGUGAGUAACACGUGGGUAACCUGCCCAUAAGACUGGGAUAACUCCGGGAAACCGGGGCUAAUAUCGGAUAACAUUUUGAACCGCAUGGUUCGAAAUUGAAAGGCGGCUUCGGCUGUCACUUAUGGAUGGACCCGCGUCGCAUUAGCUAGUUGGUGAGGUAACGGCACACCAAGGCAACGAUGCGUAGCCGACCUGAGAGGGUGAUCGGCCACACUGGGGCUGAGACACGGCCCAGACUCCUACGGGAGGCAGCAGUAGGGAAUCUUCCGCAAUGGACGAAAGUCUGACGGAGCAACGCCGCGUGAGUGAUGAAGGCUUUCGGGUCGUAAAACUCUGUUGUUAGGGAAGAACAAGUGCUAGUUGAAUAAGCUGGCACCUUGACGGUACCUAACCAGAAAGCCACGGCUAACUACGUGCCAGCCGCCGCAGUAA